rnacentral:rRNA from 1 species
CCUACGGGAGGCUGCAGUGAGGAAUAUUGGUCAAUGGACGAGAGUCUGAACCAGCCAAGUAGCGUGAAGGAUGACUGCCCUAUGGGUUGUAAACUUCUUUUAUAUGGGAAUAAAACGUUCCACGUGUGGGAUUUUGUAUGUACCAUAUGAAUAAGGAUCGGCUAACUCCGUGCCAGCAGCCGCGGUAAUACGGAGGAUCCGAGCGUUAUCCGGAUUUAUUGGGUUUAAAGGGAGCGUAGGUGGAUUGUUAAGUCAGUUGUGAAAGUUUGUGGCUCAACCGUAAAAUUGCAGUUGAAACUGGCAGUCUUGAGUACAGUAGAGGUGGGCGGAAUUCGUGGUGUAGCGGUGAAAUGCUUAGAUAUCACGAAGAACUCCGAUUGCGAAGGCAGUUCACUGGACUGCAACUGACACUGAGGCUCGAAAGUGUGGGUAUCAAACAGGAUUAGAUACCCCAGUAGUC